UGCAUUGACUUGACUUGUCAUUGGGUCUGAUUUUAAAUGUGCCAUAUAGUUCAAUGUGGGAGCAGGUUCACACACUAAAUAAGACACUAAGGUCAAGCACAAGCAGAUUUUUUGUUUUAUUUUUCUCAGAGCAGAGUAGAGCAGAUGUUUCAGGUUGCUGCCAUCAGAGAGCAGUGACUUGACCUCAGUGUCUUAUUUAGUGUACUCCCACAUUGAACUCUACUUUUUGGGUCCACGCACCUACUUAUUUCUAAACAUCUAGAGUGCAACAAUACCCAUGCCUCCUAAUGUGCCAUAUAACCUGUAUCUCGCCUAUUGUGUGUGUGUGUGUGUGUGUGUGUGUGUGUUCGUGAAUGUGUUCACGCAGAUAUAAGAAGUUGGGGUUGGGGUUGAUGAUCCACAUGAUGGUGAUGGACCAGGACAGCUCUGGACCUCCUGACUGGCAGCUCCAUCCUCAACCUCCCUUCCUGUCCUUCACACAUGUGCAGGCAGAGGCAGUUUUCUGAAGGAUGGUUAAUGUCAGUACCAACAUGUUGUGAUGGAGGCUUCCACCUGAGCUGAACACAGAAACUUGCACACAUUGAUGGAAGCAGUCGUUCCUGUUCAGCAUUGAUAUGCCGGUAAUGGGUUUGAUGAGCCACAGCAUGGUGAUGGGCAAUCAGCAUCAGGACCAGGG